CCUACGGGGGGCAGCAGUGGGGAAUAUUGGACAAUGGGCGAAAGCCUGAUCCAGCCAUGCCGCGUGUGUGAAGAAGGCCUUCGGGCUGUAAAGCACUUUCAGCGGGGAGGAAGGCGGUGAGGUUAAUAACCUCAUCGAUUGACGUUACCCGCAGAAGAAGCACCGGCUAACUCCGUGCCAGCAGCCGCGGUAAUACGGAGGGUGCAAGCGUUAAUCGGAAUUACUGGGCGUAAAGCGCACGCAGGCGGUCUGUCAAGUCGGAUGUGAAAUCCCCGGGCUCAACCUGGGAACUGCAUUCGAAACUGGCAGGCUAGAGUCUUGUAGAGGGGGGUAGAAUUCCAGGUGUAGCGGUGAAAUGCGUAGAGAUCUGGAGGAAUACCGGUGGCGAAGGCGGCCCCCUGGACAAAGACUGACGCUCAGGUGCGAAAGCGUGGGGAGCAAACAGGAUUAGAUACCCUAGUAGUC
rnacentral:rRNA from 1 species